GGUUGUGUAGCUCAGUGGUAGAGCAUUUGCCUGGCAUGAAUGGGCUCUGGGUUCAGUUCCUAGCACUGCAA
rnacentral:tRNA from 1 species